CCUUCCGUAGGUGAACCUGCGGAAGGAUCAUUACCGAGUGCGGGUCCUUUGGGCCCAACCUCCCAUCCGUGUCUAUUGUACCCUGUUGCUUCGGCGGGCCCGCCGCUUGUCGGCCGCCGGGGGGGCGCCUCUGCCCCCCGGGCCCGUGCCCGCCGGAGACCCCAACACGAACACUGUCUGAAAGCGUGCAGUCUGAGUUGAUUGAAUGCAAUCAGUUAAAACUUUCAACAAUGGAUCUCUUGGUUCCGGCAUCGAUGAAGAACGCAGCGAAAUGCGAUAACUAAUGUGAAUUGCAGAAUUCAGUGAAUCAUCGAGUCUUUGAACGCACAUUGCGCCCCCUGGUAUUCCGGGGGGCAUGCCUGUCCGAGCGUCAUUGCUGCCCUCAAGCCCGGCUUGUGUGUUGGGUCGCCGUCCCCCUCUCCGGGGGGACGGGCCCGAAAGGCAGCGGCGGCACCGCGUCCGAUCCUCGAGCGUAUGGGGCUUUGUCACAUGCUCUGUAGGAUUGGCCGGCGCCUGCCGACGUUUUCCAACCAUUCUUUCCAGGUUGACCUCGGAUCA
rnacentral:rRNA from 1 species